UGCUGGGCAGCUCAGUUGGUAGAGCAGAAGUCUUUUAAUCUCAGGGUUGUGGGUUCAAGACUCACGUCGGGCAA